rnacentral:rRNA from 1 species
UCAGAUUGAACGCUGGCGGCAUGCUUUACACAUGCAAGUCGAACGGUAACAGGGGAGCUUGCUCCCGCUGACGAGUGGCGAACGGGUGAGUAAUGCAUCGGAACGUGCCGAAUAGUGGGGGAUAACGCACCGAAAGGUGUGCUAAUACCGCAUACGCCCUGAGGGGGAAAGUGGGGGACCGCAAGGCCUCACGCUAAUCGAGCGGCCGAUGUCGGAUUAGCUAGUUGGUGGGGUAAAGGCUCACCAAGGCGACGAUCCGUAGCGGGUCUGAGAGGAUGAUCCGCCACACUGGGACUGAGACACGGCCCAGACUCCUACGGGAGGCAGCAGUGGGGAAUUUUGGACAAUGGGGGAAACCCUGAUCCAGCCAUGCCGCGUGUCUGAAGAAGGCCUUCGGGUUGUAAAGGACUUUUGUCCGGGAGGAAACCCUGAUCGUUAAUAGCGGUCGGGACUGACAGUACCGGAAGAAUAAGCACCGGCUAACUACGUGCCAGCAGCCGCGGUAAUACGUAGGGUGCAAGCGUUAAUCGGAAUUACUGGGCGUAAAGCGUGCGCAGGCGGUGAGAUAAGUCAGCUGUGAAAGCCCCGGGCUCAACCUGGGAACUGCGGCCGAAACUGUCUCGCUAGAGUACGUCAGAGGGGGGUGGAAUUCCACGUGUAGCAGUGAAAUGCGUAGAGAUGUGGAGGAACACCAAUGGCGAAGGCAGCCCCCUGGGAUGAUAC